rnacentral:rRNA from 1 species
AUUGAACGCUGGCGGCAGGCCUAACACAUGCAAGUCGAACGAGUGGCGGACGGGUGUGUAAUGUCUGGGAAACUGCCCGAUGGAGGGGGAUAACUACUGGAAACGGUAGCUAAUACCGCAUACCAUCGGAUGUGCCCAGAUGGGAGUAGCUAGUAGGUGGGGUAACGGCUCACCUAGGCGACGAUCCCUAGCUGGUCUGAGAGGAUGACCAGCCACACUGGGACUGAGACACGGUCCAGACUCCUACGGGAGGCAGCAGUGGGGAAUAUUGGACAAUGGGCGCAAGCCUGAUGCAGCCAUGCCGCGUGUAUGAAGAAGGCCUUCGGGUUGUAAAGUACUUUCAGUCGAGAGGCGUUACCGACAGAAGAAGCACCGGCUAACUCCGGGCCAGCAGCCGCGGUAAUUC